CAACUCCAGCAGCUUGUGCCUGGUGAGCCUGGGUUCUGUGGCCUGCUUUCCAGGGCUUCUGUGGAGUCUGGAAUCAGCUAAUGAGAACUGAGAUGAGCAGGAUUAUUCGAGUGUAAACAGAGUACAGCCAGCAAAAGACCCACCUGGCAGCUUGGAUGAGUUGCUUUGUGACAGCCGUGUUUCUCUCCUCCUGGGUCCACUUUGCUCCCCUAAGUUCCUACACAAACACUCCCCUCUUUCUUCACAGCCCUCAACAGUGGUGUGUAUAAAUGCUUCAGUUGUGCAUGAAAAAGAAGUACAUUUUCUUUUAAAGAUGAUGGAUGCAUAAUAGAUAAAUUGAAGUCAUGGUGGUGGCAUGCACCUGUAAUUCAGCACAAGCUGCAGAGGCAGGAGGAUUACCACCAUGCUCUACACAGUGAGUUCCAGGCCAGC
rnacentral:lncRNA from 1 species